UUCACUUUUUUUCACGUGAAUUACUCCCAUGCCUUCUCUCUCUCUCCAUUGAAGCUCCAUUGACGUCCUCCGCUGUUGCCGUCACCGCCGCCGCCGCGGCUCGCGUCGCACGAGCUCCUUCCACCGCCGCUCUCAAUGCGUUUGCUCCUUUCAUCGUCACACGAGCUCUCUCAGCCGUGCUCUUGUCUUAUGAGCUCCCUCCGCCGCUGCUCUCGCGCUGCUUCUUCUCUCCUCGCCGGAGGUUUGUCAUCGUCUUCUCUCAUCGCUGUUAGUUCAGGUCCGCUGAAGGUUACACCAUCUAUGGUCGAGUGAAGAUCCCCAGCAAGCAAUCGACGAAGAUAAGGAAGAAGAUCGUACCACAGAUUAAGACAACGCUGCUAUCACUAUCACUGUUAAAACCUACUCUUCUCUAAUUUUACUGGUAAGUCAACGAAGACUAGUUAAUUUAAUUGUCAAUGCUCACUACUGUUCGUUAUUUCAUUACUCACCGUUAAAUUGAUUUAAUUUGAUAAUUGCAAUUGAAAUGAUGGUUGAUGGAGAAUAAUGAUAAUGAUAAUGCCACUAUGAACGAAUACAAUAGAGAGUAACAUUUACAGUGUGAUCUCUCCUGCGACACUUAUUGGAAGAAGCAUGAGUUAUGGAAAGGAUGACAUAGAAGCUCCUCGGAGCUCCGGUGACAUCGACGACGGAGGCUCCUCCUCCAGUCCCUUUGAUAUUGCCAGAACAAAAGAUGCUUCCGUUCAACGACUCAAGCGUUGGAGGUUGUACCAACUGCUAUUGGAACAGCAAUGGAUGUUAACCUGAGCAAUGCUAUUGUACCAACUGCUAUUAUUGAGUUGUAAAGAUUUUAGAAUUAAAUUAUUGUGACUAUAAUUGGAAGUUUCCUACCAGGUCUCCUGGGAAUGCUUUUGUUGAAGGCGAUGCUUCUAGUGCCAGCUACUUUCUCGCAGGUGCAGCCGGUGGGAUUAUCACAGUUGUAGGCUGUGACACAAGUAGUUUACAGAAUCAUCCUGCUGUUGUUGUGCCUAGGCUUCCUGCUGGUUUGAAUUUGCUUAGUCCAGUCAGGAGAUGUCCAGAUUAACUUUCAAUGUGGAUCGGAGCUUGAUGCUGUUAAUGCAACUUAGUUAUCUAUUAAUAUUUUAGAUUAUUCUAUCUUUAAGUGCUAAGUGUAAUUUGUGACAUUCAUGUAACAUUGGGAUGGUCAUCUUAUUUUUUUUUUGGGUAUUUUUUUAUUAAGACAAUGAGAUAUUGGCCAAUGAUGUUGAAAAAUAACAUCCAAUUUUAUAGGUAUCAUGUAAUGAAUAUUAUGUUUAUUUAU